CUGAGACACGGCCCAGACUCCUACGGGAGGCAGCAGUGGGGAAUAUUGCACAAUGGGCGAAAGCCUGAUGCAGCGACGCCGCGUGAGGGAUGACGGCCUUCGGGUUGUAAACCUCUUACAGCACGGAAGAAGCGAAAGUGACGGUACGUGCAGAAGAAGCGCCGGCUAACUACGUGCCAGCGGCCGCGGUAAUACGUAGGGCGCAAGCGUUGUCCGG
rnacentral:rRNA from 1 species